AACGAACGCUGGCGGCAGGCCUAACACAUGCAAGUCGAGCGAAGCCUUCGGGCUUAGCGGCGGACGGGUGAGUAACGCGUGGGAACGUGCCCUUUGGUACGGAAUAGCCCCGGGAAACUGGGAGUAAUACCGUAUGUGGUCGAGAGACGAAAGAUUUAUCGCCAAAGGAUCGGCCCGCGUUGGAUUAGGUAGUUGGUGGGGUAAUGGCCUACCAAGCCGACGAUCCAUAGCUGUUUGAGAGGAUGAUCAGCCACACUGGGACUGAGACACGGCCCAGACUCCUACGGGAGGCAGCAGUGGGGAAUCUUAGACAAUGGGGGAAACCCUGAUCUAGCCAUGCCGCGUGAUCGAUGAAGGCCUUAGGGUUGUAAAGAUCUUUCAGUGGGGAAGAUAAUGACUGUACCCACAGAAGAAGCCCCGGCUAACUCCGUGCCAGCCGCCGCAGUAACAC
rnacentral:rRNA from 1 species